AACGAACGCUGGCGGCAUGCCUAACACAUGCAAGUCGAACGAGACCUUCGGGUCUAGUGGCGCACGGGUGCGUAACGCGUGGGAAUCUGCCCUUGGGUACGGAAUAACAGUUAGAAAUGACUGCUAAUACCGUAUAAUGACUUCGGUCCAAAGAUUUAUCGCCCAGGGAUGAGCCCGCGUAGGAUUAGCUAGUUGGUGAGGCAAAAGCUCACCAAGGCGACGAUCCUUAGCUGGUCUGAGAGGAUGAUCAGCCACACUGGGACUGAGACACGGCCCAGACUCCUACGGGAGGCAGCAGUGGGGAAUAUUGGACAAUGGGCAAAGCCUGAUCCAGCAGUGCCGCGUGAGCGAUGAAGGCCUUAGGG
rnacentral:rRNA from 1 species